AGAGAGAUUUCAUUUUAGGCACAGGCUAUUUCUAACAGACCUAAAUCCUGCUUUCAGAUGCUUUCACACAAACAGUCCCUUUACCAACAUUGUUUUCUGACAGAAUGAACAUUCAUACUUAACGUAGAUUUCAUGAAAUUGCUGAAUCACGACUGAAGCAGUUCAAGAGCCAUAGCCUUGUCUUUUGGUUUUAAUCACAAAACCCAUUUAAUUGGCAGUUUGGCAUAGAGUUGUGGCACCUGCCCCAUUAGCCAUGCCGUUCUGUCUGCAGUUAUUUCAGAAUCUGUGUCAGGGUACUCUUAAUCACACGGAAGCAACUACAGCUUCUUCUGACCUCAAGAGGGAAUGGUGAAAUAUUUGUGAGCCCUGACUCACAGAUGGGAAUUGUCUCUCCAGCUCUGGUUGUCUGAAUUAAAAUGUAUUGCGUUCAUUCUCUCUUAUGGAGAAAAUGUUGUUGAACCAGCACUGCUAGUUCAUUUAGCUGUGUUGGGGUGUGGACGUCAGAGUCGUAGCAGAGCAUAGUCCUUGGGGGUUGCCUCUUGAGCAAGGCUUGGGAAACUGAGGCCCGGGGUCCAAAUACAGCACCCCACCCCCACAUGCCUCACUCCUCAGUGGCCCUGAUUCAUUGCCCCACUCGCUUUUGGCUCUGGCCCCACCCACCACUGGCAGGUGGCCCUCAGAAUGUUACCCAGAAACGAAUGCAGCCUUCAGACUAAUCAAGGGAUUGGGAGCAGAUUAGGCCACCUGCACCCUUCACAGUGCAACCCAAGAUCUCUGUGUGCGCCACUCUCAUUGUAGGGGCAAAGCACAGGGAACAGUUGUCGCCUUGCUCUUAGGCCUGUCAACAUAAAGAGAUCUGAAAUCAACUGGAUUGGCAGGCAACUGCUUCUCUGGGUUUUUUUUGUCAGGUGAGAGGAAAGCAAGUGGAAAGAACCGUUUCCUUCCUUAUCCCUAAACUGCAAAAAAAAUAAUAAUUCAGAGGUCUCCACUUGUUCUCCUAUGUGUGAGUCAGUUACAAAGACCAGCAGUGCUUUUAUUUCGUUGAUCUUGGCACACAGGAUUAUGACUGUCUAUAAAAAUGAAAAGGAACCAGUAAAAAUAGAUAGGGCAAAUCAUCUCUACUAAACUGUUUGUGGGUUGUUUUCCCUCUUUUAGCAGAGGCAGGCACCUCAGAAGUUUGCUUUGUUACGCCAGACUUUGCAAUAAGUAACAAACUUGUUUCAAGAUCCUGGCAGACAAUGGCAUGUGGUUUUAACAUUCUGUAAAGAGCUAAAUUCCCUUUGGACUUCAGAAACUAUUUGAGGGGCUUUACACACACAAAAAUUGUUUGUUUUUUAGGUUGUUUUGCCAGAAUCAAAAUAGAAGUUGUGUGAAACUCAUUUCAUCAUAACACUUCUGACAGUUAGUUACAAUAGUAAGCUAUUAAAACCACUCCUGCUCUUAUUUUGGCUUACUUUCCUCAGCUUUUAAAACAAUUCUGAGGUAAAACAGCAGUGUUUUGAAGGGACUACCAAGGCUCCUGCCUUCUACUUUUUAGAUCCCUGCUGCUGGUUAAAAAAAUGAUGGCAAACCUCUUUGCAGAGAUAAUAUACUUUAAACACCCUACUUAACACAAUUAGGUGUGCUACCCUUUUUCUUUUUUAGAUCUUUAAGAAACUUUUCCAUCACAUUAAUGCUACAAUCAUUUGUAUGCAUCCUGUUAGGCUGUCAGCCUGUGCUGCCGAGCAUGAGAUAAACAGAUUAGCUACGCAAAAUGUUAUUUAGCUCAAAUGAAAGGUUCCUUCAAAUGAGACAAAUUCUCUACCUGGAAAGCACAUAGUGAUGGGGUAGUCUGUCCCAUAACCCCACAUAAUUCUUUCAAAUUUGGACACAGUGAAAUUAAACAUACGUUUCCAUUGCCGUCUGCAUGCAAUCUGCAUUCUCUCCAUUAUCCAAAGUUACUUCCGUGUGUGACAUACUGCAUUUAAAAGUGGUUCUAGAUGGGACUGGUUUUGCCCAGAAAGAGGCUGUAAUGCAAUACUUAGGAAAAGUUACAACUGCUGCUGUUACUUUACUUUCCAUCUGGAGGAAAUAAGUGCUACUGUUUAUGCUAAGCAAUGAAUGUGCCGCCAUUAUAGUUAGAAACAAUCUGUCAGUGUUCAACUUGUAAUAUGCUAUGUAGAACAGAAAAAUUGAUGUGCUUUUUUGCCCAGAGGGUUUUCUGUUUAAGAAAAGUUGGUCAAAACUGAGGGCAAAGACACAACUGUCAACUUUAAUGUCAAUUUUGAUAAACAGCAGUGGGUAAACGGAUUAAGUGGUACAAGGAAGACAAAAAGGUAGGUCUGUGUUAGUUCAGAAAAAUUGUCUUUCUGUUGUUUUUUCGAGUUUACUUAUCCUUUAUAUUUUGUGUUAAAAUGUUCCACUGUGCAAAAAGAUAUUUGAUCUCUGAGUAGCCUCUAUUUCUCUGGCACUCUGAAAUCAUAAAACUAAUUGCUUGGCCUCAACCAGAGGUUUUCAACCUUCUGAGCCCACAGCUCCCUUGAUCAGCUACAUUCUUUCUGCAGCACCCCUUUGGGACUCAGGAGCCCAGUUAUGUCACCCCUUGCCUGCAGAGCUGGCAGCCUCUCACUCUUUUUCAAACACCCUUCUUUGUGGAGUGUUCCCUCAAACUCCUCUCCUCUCUCCUUUCCCCUCUCCUUGGGAGCUUGUAGCCAGGGCUGCUGCAACAAACAGCUGUGCAAGCCUUUGGGAGACAGAGAUGCAAGAGGGCAUCAGAGAGAGAAGGAAAGAGGGACAGAGGCCAAUGUUGCCAUUGGCACCCCUGACCAUCAUUCAAGGCACCCCAGGGUGCCACAGCACACUGGUUGUAAACCACUGGCGUUGGCAAUGAAACUGAUAGGGAGCCUGCCUGGUCAUGGUCACUCUUUAGUACUCUGCACAUCCACCAGUCACUGGUAAGUGUGUCCUGUCGCUGCCUCCACUCCUCUUGAUAGGUGCAAGCCACUGAGCUAGACAGUCAGCUCAGCUGGGGAAGCAACGCUUCCUCAUGACUUGCCUCUUGCCCAUGCGACCACCUGCCAACUCCAAACCAUGGUUGCAGCGAUCAUCCUUGAGAAUGUUUCCUCCUAUAAAAGGGGUAGGAAGUUUCUACAUUCUAAAUCCCUUGAUACAUGCAUGUGAUUUGGCAGGACAACGUGUUUUAAACCCACUUUCUUGUUCUACGUGGAAGUUGUUAUUUCCAGUUUUCCAUUUGUGGCACAGUUAUAGUCUGAACCACAGUGUGAUCCCGGGUGUGUGUGUGUGAUAUCAUGUAUGAACGUUUUGCUAAGUGGCGAGAGACUUUUAAGCAUGUCGUGGCUCAGUACUUUAGAUGAGAGCUUUUUCUGCGAGCUCCACUCUGGUGCAUUCAGGAUCCACUUCUGGGUACACCCCUGUAUCCUAUCCAGGUACCAGAAUUCAUUAUUCUAAUGCAAUUUUUCUCCGCUCAAGGAAUAUAAGUCGCAGUAUCAUAGAAUUUUAGAGUUGGAAGGGACCCUGAGGGCCACGCAGGAAUGUUUUGCCGAAUGAGGGGUUCAAACCCACAACCCAGAGAUUAAAAGUCUUGUGCUCUACCAACUGAGCUAUCCCCUAUCUUUCACCUUUAUCAUGUCUCUUCCCCCACCCCACCCAUCCUGUAUAUUAGAUUUCUUUCUUCCCUUCCUCUAAAUUUUUUUCUUCCUCCACUUCUUUCAUGGUUAUUCUCUCAGCAACUGUCUGCAGUUUUGCAUGGAGGCUUCAUUCACAUUUUGGGGAACUAUAGUUAUGAUACCAACCUGCACACAAGGCAAGUCCUUUUUCUGAAGUACCAGUUUGCCUCCUUUGGCUACCUCAUAGCUAUUUCAUCUAAAGAUGUAUUUCUCAGCUUCCCGUUUUGAUUAGGAUCUAGAUAAUUAAAAAGGUGCUUUUAAAGAUUGUAUUUAUUCAGGAAAUUAUUGUAGCUGGUGACUCAGAAGAGAUAACAACGUAUGCCUGAAUGUGGCAUAUUAAACAACAGCAAAUUCCAGUCUUCAGCAGCUAGAAGAUAAUGGUUUGAGAAAAAGGAUGGUGGAGAUGACACACUGCCUCUGUGGCAUGUUUUCUUAUUUUUUAAGAUGGGAAGCAAAAUUAUAGGCAAGUUAAAAUAUAUGUUAUUUUGUGAAACUGGCUGUGUAUGAUUACUGUGCACUGAUUUAUUUGUUUUUUAAAGAAACUUGUGUGGUAUAUUUUAUUUAUUUCUACAAAAUAUGUUUUUCCCCCCGUAAGCAGAUGCUGUCGCUAUAUUGCACAUUUUGAAUAUUUUUAUAUAUAUAAUAAACUCUAUUCUCCU